rnacentral:rRNA from 1 species
UUCUCCUGGAAAACGGGUGGUAAUGCCGGAUGCUCCGACUCCUCGCAUGGGGUGUCGGGAAAGAUUUCAUCGGUAUGGGAUGGGGUCGCGUCCUAUCAGGUAGUCGGCGGGGUAACGGCCCACCGAGCCUACGACGGGUAGCCGGCCUGAGAGGGCGACCGGCCACAUUGGGACUGAGAUACGGCCCAGACUCCUACGGGAGGCAGCAGUGGGGAAUAUUGCACAAUGGGCGCAAGCCUGAUGCAGCGACGCCGCGUGCGGGAUGACGGCCUUCGGGUUGUAAACCGCUUUUGAUCGGGAGCAAGCCUUCGGGUGAGUGUACCUUUCGAAUAAGCACCGGCUAACUACGUGCCAGCAGCCGCGGUAAUACGUAGGGUGCAAGCGUUAUCCGGAAUUAUUGGGCGUAAAGGGCUCGUAGGCGGUUCGUCGCGUCCGGUGUGAAAGUCCAUCGCUUAACGGUGGAUCUGCGCCGGGUACGGGCGGGCUGGAGUGCGGUAGGGGAGACUGGAAUUCCCGGUGUAACGGUGGAAUGUGUAGAUAUCGAAAAAGAACACCA